rnacentral:rRNA from 1 species
CGUGAUCCGGGUUGCGGACAGUGUCUGGUGGGUAGUUUGACUGGGGCGGUCUCCUCCUAAAGAGUAACGGAGGAGCACGAAGGUUGGCUAAUCCUGGUCGGACAUCAGGAGGUUAGUGCAAUGGCAUAAGCCAGCUUGACUGCGAGCGUGACGGCGCGAGCAGGUGCGAAAGCAGGUCAUAGUGAUCCGGUGGUUCUGAAUGGAAGGGCCAUCGCUCAACGGAUAAAAGGUACUCCGGGGAUAACAGGCUGAUACCGCCCAAGAGUUCAUAUCGACGGCGGUGUUUGGCACCUCGAUGUCGGCUCAUCACAUCCUGGGGCUGAAGUAGGUCCCAAGGGUAUGGCUGUUCGCCAUUUAAAGUGGUACGCGAGCUGGGUUUAGAACGUCGUGAGACAGUUCGGUCCCUAUCUGCCGUGGGCGCUGGAGAACUGAGGGGGGCUGCUCCUAGUACGAGAGGACCGGAGUGGACGCAUCACUGGUGUUCGGGUUGUCAUGCCAAUGGCACUGCCCGGUAGCUAAAUGCGGAAGAGAUAAGUGCUGAAAGCAUCUAAGCACGAAACUUGCCCCGAGAUGAGUUCUCCCUGAGACUUUAGGUCUCCUGAAGGAACGUUGAAGACGACGACGUUGAUAGGCCGGGUGUGUAAGCGCAGCGAUGCGUUGAGCUAACCGGUACUAAUGAACCGUGAGGCUUAACCUUACA